UCCCUAGUGGCUCAGAUAGUAAAGCGUCUGCCCGAAAUGCAGGAGACCCAGGUCGAUCCCUGGGUCGGGAA
rnacentral:tRNA from 1 species